AUUGAACGCUGGCGGCAUGCCUUACACAUGCAAGUCGAACGGCAGCACGGGGGCAACCCUGGUGGCGAGUGGCGAACGGGUGAGUAAUACAUCGGAACGUGCCCAGUAGUGGGGGAUAGCCCGGCGAAAGCCGGAUUAAUACCGCAUACGACCUACGGGUGAAAGCGGGGGAUCGCAAGACCUCGCGCUAUUGGAGCGGCCGAUGUCAGAUUAGGUUGUUGGUGGGGUAAGAGCCACCAAGCCGACGAUCUGUAGCUGGUCUGAGAGGACGACCAGCCACACUGGGACUGAGACACGGCCCAGACUCCUACGGGAGGCAGCAGUGGGGAAUUUUGGACAAUGGGCGCAAGCCUGAUCCAGCCAUGCCGCGUGCGGGAAGAAGGCCUCGG
rnacentral:rRNA from 1 species